rnacentral:rRNA from 1 species
UGGCCUACGGGUGGCUGCAGUGGGGAAUAUUGGACAAUGGGCGAAAGCCUGAUCCAGCAAUGCCGCGUGAGUGAUGAAGGCCUUAGGGUUGUAAAGCUCUUUUACCAGGGAUGAUAAUGACAGUACCUGGAGAAUAAGCUCCGGCUAACUCCGUGCCAGCAGCCGCGGUAAUACGGAGGGAGCUAGCGUUGUUCGGAAUUACUGGGCGUAAAGCGCACGUAGGCGGCGAUUCAAGUCAGAGGUGAAAGCCCGGGGCUCAACCCCGGAACUGCCUUUGAAACUAGAUUGCUAGAAUCCUGGAGAGGCGAGUGGAAUUCCGAGUGUAGAGGUGAAAUUCGUAGAUAUUCGGAAGAACACCAGUGGCGAAGGCGACACGCUGGACAGGUAUUGACGCUGAGGUGCGAAAGCGUGGGGAGCAAACAGGAUUAGAUACCCCAGUAGUC